rnacentral:lncRNA from 1 species
UGAGAGUCAAAAGAAGAUUGAUAUAAUUUCGUCAUUUGUGGGUUUGGUGACUUAGAUCAGUUCCGAACCUCACUCAAGUCCAGAUAUAUAGUAGCUGUUUGGUACCUUGAAAUACUUUGUCUUCCUAUAAACAAGAUACAUUAAACCAUGUUAGUACUAAUAAGUACAUAUAUACAUUCAAUUAUGUUCGUAUAUAAGCAUGAGCCUAUCAAUAUAAUGUUUUUCCAAGAAAGAAGAAUAUAUUUUAUGUUUGGUAUUUGAUAGAAGUCUUAUCGGUAACCAUUGAGUUGAGAAGUCAAUUGGUAGUAACCAUUGAUAGAGUGGCUAGAGCUUUCGGCGACAGAUAUGGCGAUUUUAAGAUCUGAUUGAUCUCGAUGUCGAUCCAGUCUUCACUCACCCUCGACAGCUUUCUCUUCUGUACAAGGGAGACUACCUCACACUCCUUGUGGCCUCCUUGGAUUUGCAGCAACGGAGAAGCAGUUUCGCUGGCGUCUUCUUCUACAAGUACCAACCCCCUGUUUGAG